UGUACAUACACAUAUACCAUAUACAUUUAUAAAUUAUUUUAUACAUUUAUACAUUUUGUAUUAUAAUUUUUUUAUUUUAUUCAGAUAUUGCUAUUAAAAUGCCGCGUAGGAAUAGGCAAUCUGCUUCUCAACAGUCUCAGAGACGCAGGUUGAAAUACAGAUUGGACAGGGAACACUUAGAAAACAGGGAUAAUUUAGAAAAUGUUGAAUGUUGUUCGGAUUCUGAUAGGAACCAGCAGCAAUAGAUUGAGGGCCCAGAGCAGGAAGUCGGUAGGCAGGUUUUAGAUGUAUCCCAGGGAGAGCAGGCAACCAUCUCUACUGAAGAAAGGCAACAUUCAAUAGGAAACUCGACAAGACGACAAGUGUCGUAGAAGAGACAAGUAGAAAGACCAGUAGACGAGCUGAGAACACGACAGGAGCAAGUGGCCGAUACUGUGCGUCGGUCCACACGAAGACAGGACUUGGACUGUAGGGCAAGGGAACAGCAACAAAAUAUAGAAGAACAUAUAGUUAGACGAACAGACGCGCAGAUUAGAAACGAGAAGCAAGCGGCCGAUACUGCGCGUCGGUCCACACGAAGGCAGGACUUGGACUUUAUGACAAGGGAGCAUCAACAAAAUACGGAGAGGCGACAUCGCAUCCGCUAGUGGACGCAGACGAAUGUUAGAGUUCGUAGGGCCCAAGAGAGGAGCUUAAUAGACCGUACGUAUAUCUUGCGAGCGCGAGACGCUCUGGUGCUGCCAGAAGUGCUGGUCAGAGAGUCUGCCAAUAUAGGAGCGAUAGCAGAAAUAUAGCUGAGGAAAAUUUGCGAAACGCCACCCGAAUUCAGCAGGAAAGAGCAAAUAUCUCCCAGAAAGAUAGGGUACAGACGGGAGCCUGAGUCAGGCUUAGUGGCCUAGAAGCUCUGAAAGUAGCUUAUAAUAGGAAUGUAAAGCUGGGUCCCGAUCAGGUUUGCCUUUCUUGUAAAGGCCUGUGGUUCCCCUAACAAAUAUAUAAAAUUCUUCGCGUAUUUUUAGAAAAUGUUUGCGAGUUUAGCGCUGAACUUUUAGAAUUUCCUUCAGACUGCCAAGCACUUAAAUUCUGUAGAACAUGUCAUAGCAACAUAAAGAAACGUAAGAAGCCUAAGCUUCUUUUCUAAAAUGGAUUAGAUUUCCCCGAUCUGCCCAAAUGCUUAAAGGGGCUAACUCCAUUAGAGGAACGACUGAUUUCUCCUCGACUUCCUUUUAUUAAAAUUAUUAGUCUUUUAGACGGGGGGCCAAAAUGGCAUUAAGGAGCUGUAGUAAACGUCCCUAUUUCGAUAGACACUUGCGUGAAAGAUCUUCCGCGAGCCUUCCAUGAAGCUCAGGUUGUUCAGCUCCACCUGAAACGUAGACAGUGUUUUAAUCAUGAUUUCAUGGCUGAAACCAUUAGACCUCUAAAAGUUUUUGAAGCCCUUCGUCACUUUAUUACCACAGAUCUUUAUAAAAAGCAUGAUGUUGUAGUUAACGAGCAAAUUGAUGUCAAGUUUUACAUCCGAUGUUGUUCAAUUUAUUUCAUCUCAGGCAGACGCAGCCUUAUUAGUAGAGAUGAAGAAUAGAAAUAGGAAUGUAGACACGGAGCCAGCCCAUCCUGACGAGGAUUUGGAAGCUGAACAGCUCAACCCCGGAGGUCAAGAAACUCUUUUUCAAAAUAAAAUGGUGCUAGCAAUGGCACCAGGCGAAGGCCGAAGACCACUCGAUAUGAUUUUAGAUACUGACUGGGAAGAGUUAUCGUUUCCCACCAUUUAUGCAGGUGUCAAGAGACCAUGCUCAGAAAGUUAUACAACCAUAGUUAGAUCAGAGCUUCGAAAUGUAGAUAGGAGAGGUUGUAGAACUGAUAAACUGUUUUUCAGUUAUAAGAAAUUAGAACUCAUUAAGAUUCGCAAUAAUAUUUCAAUCUGCUUACGUAAGCGGAGCACUUCCAGUGCAGUAACGGCAGCUAACGCACUUAAUGACAAUUUCAUAGGGGGUCUUAUAAACCACGAUGAUGGAUAUAGGGUUCUUCGGGAUAUUCGAUCUUCUCCGGCUCACUGGGAGGAUGAAAAGAAGAAGGUUAUGACCAUGAUUCGUCAGUUUGGUCUGCCGACUUUUUUCAUCACUCUGUCUGCUGCUGAAACGCGGUGGCCAGAAUUGCUUGUUUUGCUCAAGAAAACCGUAGAUAGGCAGACAAUUAGCGAAGAAGAGGCAAUAGGCUUAGUACAUGACGAAAAAGCUCGUCUUAUUAGGGAAGAUCCUGUUACUUGCGCUAUAAUAUUUGAGGAAAAGCUAGAGCUAAACACAACUAGACUAGAGCUACUAUAGCUAAGCAAGCAAAAAUUACCAAAAUCAGAAACAAGACAAAAUUAAAAUGAAACUAACUACGGGAGAGGUAGGCUAGUAUAAGAGAUUUAAGAAGAGGAAGGGAGUUAGUUGAGGAUAUAAUGUGGUAGAGGGAAUUAUAAUCCGAGCAUAAAACCAUAAAGGGUUCGUGUGAGGCAUAAUUCGAUCUACAUAGUGGAAGGAACAAAGAAAUAAAGUUUCUAGUGGGUCUAAUGGGAUUCGUAAAGUUUAUGCGGCUCAGCAAGUCAGGGCUGUCUACAUCCCCCUUGAUCAAGUUGUGCAUAAAAAUUACACCAAGCAUUUUUAUACGACUAACUAAGGAUGGAAGAUUUAUUAAAAGAAGUCUACUACGGUAGGAUGGCAGUCUCACAGUUGCAUCCCAGUGGAGGCCCCGUAGGGCAAAUAAUAAAAAGUUGUUCUGUACUGAUUCAAUACGGUCCUGAUGUAUGUUGUACUGAGGGCACCAUACACAUGAGCCGUAUUCUAAAAUCGGACGAACAAGCGAGAUAUAGAGAGCCUUCGUUACAUAGGGGUCAUCAAAUUCCUUUUACCACCUCUUUAUAAACCCAAGCACACCCAUGGCUUUAUUUACCAUGGUAGAAAUGUGUUCAGAAAACUUUAACUUGGGGUCUAGUAAAAAUAAAUAAAAACUUGAUACUUCUACGUAUAAAGUACAAUUAAAAC
rnacentral:lncRNA from 1 species